GCAAGAUGUCCCCAUUUAGUGCGCUACACUUGGGCCAUUUAAGUGGUCUUGUGUUGUCCUCAAUUUGCCGCAACACUUGCCCCACUAAUUUGCUCAUCACAUGCAAUUUACCAUCAACCACUUAGUGCGCCCCAUUGUGCUCUUCACAUGCACUAACACAUUAGGCCAUUUGUCCCACGUGGAACUCCACUACCACAAUUACCAUGCAAUUGUUCUUCACGUAAG
rnacentral:misc_RNA from 1 species